UUUUAAAACCCGUUUUGUAUCAGCAGCUCUUUUGAAAAUUAAGGAUAAGCAAAGCCUUAAUAUUUUAAAGUCGUUUAAUGAACAGUUGGAAGAAACUCAAAAUCUUUUGGUACUACUGCUGAUGCAUGCUGUUUUGCCUCCAACGGCAAGGAUAAAAAGGA